CUACGUGCCAGCAGCCGCGGUAAUACGUAGGGUGCGAGCGUUAAUCGGAAUUACUGGGCGUAAAGCGAGCGCAGACGGUUACUUAAGCAGGAUGUGAAAUCCCCGGGCUCAACCUGGGAACUGCGUUCUGAACUGGGUGACUAGAGUGUGUCAGAGGGAGGUAGAAUUCCACGUGUAGCAGUGAAAUGCGUAGAGAUGUGGAGGAAUACCGAUGGCGAAGGCAGCCUCCUGGGAUAACACUGACGUUCAUGCUCGAAAGCGUGGGUAGCAAACAGGAUUAGAUACCCUGGUAGUCCACGCCCUAAACGAUGUCAAUUAGCUGUUGGGCAACUUGAUUGCUUAGUAGCGUAGCUAACGCGUGAAAUUGACCGCCUGGGGAGUACGGUCGCAAGAUUAAAACUCAAAGGAAUUGACGGGGACCCGCACAAGCGGUGGAUGAUGUGGAUUAAUUCGAUGCAACGCGAAGAACCUUACC
rnacentral:rRNA from 1 species